UUGUGGUCUGUAGGCUGCAGCUGGAGGCCAAAGAAUAGCUUUCUAUUUGGUUUCUCCCAAAGAACAAAUGUUUGUUUGAGAGUUUAGACAUGAUGGGAAACUCGAUUUUUGAGAAUUGAAUCAAGAUGUUGAGCAUUCUCCCUUCUUUCUCUUCUCUCUACUCGCUCUCUUCUUCUUCUGUGUCUCCCCUUGGCUCUCGGCAGAUAAAGCGAACGAAGUGAAGUUCAGCGUGCUGCAUGUGAAGAACAGCCGUGGUCUGAUCGAGCCCUCGGUGGAUCACUCCAGCAGUCACUUCUCUUUCAUCCGUGGGUCCGAUUGUUCAGACGCAGAGCAUCAUGGGGUGGUGCCCUGAGAACUGCUUCUCCUUCAGAGUUUACAUGGCUGGAAACAACUGCUCUGACAUCAAGGACAUCAGGAGGACCGUUCGGCGGGCUGUAAGAACAACAAGAGGUACAUACAAGUAGACAAGCCGCAGGAGAGCAGGAGCUACCCAUGGGUCACAUCACACCUGAGGGCAUGCUCUUCUCUCCUGUCAUCAUGGAGGUCAAGGGAUACUUGAGGUCUUCUUCGAGGAGAGCCCUCCCUUCAAACUGU